GACAAAAACAACAGUGGAGAUCCACAUCAAAGGGCUGCCACCUACCACCUAUUUUGUUUGGACAACAUAUAUAACCUCUCUGGACCUCAGGUAGCUCAACUAAAAACUGGACUCAUCAUACAUACUUGGAAGUUUACAUUCUGAACAAGAAAUUCAUUCAAUGAUUGAAUUAAAUUCAGUGAAAUGAGAGCGUGUAUGUCAUGUAACACCCAUCUCAUGAUGAAAACUCCUGAAGCGCUAUCCUUCUGCUGGAUCUGGACUUUUCUUCAACAGAAUAGUCUCUUGCUUUGACAUCAGAAGGGAUCUUCAGUGGGGAGCAAGGGAAGUGCAGUUCGCUUGAUUAAAAGCCGCUCAUAGGGAAGGAACUGGUUUGUCCUGCUCUGUCUGGUGGCUCCCUAUAAACAAAGCCUUUCUACGGUGAAGACACCAUGUUGGUCUCAAGAACUGAGUUCAAUAAGGACAUGGCUGAAAUUGCAGUAAGGGGGGACAAAAGCUGCUGCCGUCUGAAAGGCCCAUCAGACCCCAUCCACCCCAACCCUGUAUGCCCAGGAAGACGUUCCUUU
rnacentral:lncRNA from 1 species